ensembl:lncRNA
AUGAAUGGGAUGUGUGUGUGUGCGCGUGUAUGUGAGAGAGAGAAAAAGGGAGGGAUGGAAAGACACUGCAUCAUGAAAGGAGAAAGAUUCACUCACUCGCUGCUCACCUUCACAGACAGACAGGAGAAGGGUGGCUGCACAGCUAGAUCAGAUUGUGUUUGAGGAGACGCUCCGUCUGAGCUCAAGACUAAAUCAUGGAUCAGAAGUCCACUUCACCCCAGAGACAUGCGGUGAAAAGCAGGUCGAAGUCUACAGAGGAAGUCCAGCAAGCUAAAAAGGUUAAUUGAUAGUUGUAUCAAUAUAAAUGAAUAUACUUUCCUUCAGCAGAUUUUUAUUUUAUUUGUGUGUGUGGAAAGUAUAGGCCUAGUUAAUAAUAAAACUGGAUGCUCAACAUAAAUGUUGAUUUUG